UAAAAAUUGAAUUCAUAUCUUCAUAACCCACUCUACUGGUUUUGGUUUUAAUGUAGUUGUUUGGGACAAGGUGCUAAGCAGGCCUACAACUUGCCUCUUGCUUCUAUGUCCUGUGUGGUCUGUAACCGUACCCGGUGUUACCACCACAUGUGAUGUAUAUGGCGCGUGGCUCCCAGGGUUUCUGGUGGGGUCCUGGUCCCUUAUUUACUCUCUUAGAUUUGUAUGUCUGACUAACACCUUGUUCCCUUUGCUUUGUCAACCUAGACACCUGGCAUGCUUGCCUUGGGUACUGUCACUCUAGCACAUUGCCAGGAUAUUCUUCCUCCCAUGUAGUGCAGAGCCAGCUCAGUGAGCAUGCCUGAAACAGAAACAUGGACUUCUUAUGUCCGGCAUGGCCAACUCUUACCUUGUUCCACGUUUCCUUCUUUUACAUCAUGGCCUUUCAAAUCUACUGUAGUCUGUGAUGUGUUUGUUUACUUCCUUGCCUGUUUCUUUUGUGUGUAUUCCCUUCUAGGACAUAAUGUUCCCUAGGGAAGAGUUCACUGUUUUGUCCACUCACACAGACCAAGGACCUCAAAUAAUUCAGGUUAUACAAUAAAUAAUCAAUAUUUUUUGGUGGUGAAUGACCUAAAGAUAAACAUAGAUAUAGGUGAUCUUGUAAAACUAGUCUUUCAAGUAUCUGGAAAACAAAGAAAGAGUUGCAUGCUUUCAGGGAGAGCCUCAAAUGUAGGCAAAGCAGUGGGUUCCUUCCAGCAGAGACUGCUAGCUCAGAAAUGCUAGGAUGGGAGUUGUGUUAUUCAAAAGAAACACUGUUUUGCCUAAGUAACUACCCUGAGUGAUUUUCAUUCCUUAAUAUAUGGUCUGGUAGUUAAAAUGUCAUGGGCUAGAGUGGGUAAUUGACUUGCUCUCCAGUAAGGGCAGCAACAUUCUUUUAGCUGAGUUGGGGGAACAGUGAUUCUAAAGUAUGAGCCUAGGUCAGGCUCACCUGGGAGCUGACUGAACACUCAGAGCUCGGCUCCUGCUGGAGUGCCCUACUUGACUUUUCUGAACUACACCUCAACUCAAGAGCUCUGUCUUUCUAGGAAAUGGCCAGGUAGUGCUGCGUAGAUUCCAGGUCCACCCUGAGAGGGACUGUGCGGAGAGGGUAAUAUUCAGUUAUUUUAUCUGUAUUUAGUUAAAACUCAGUUGUAUGAGCCUAACAUAGUUAUAGAUAGCCUCUUACCCAUGGUGUAGUGUCGUAUAAGUGUCUAGAAUUCUUUUCUCUGAUACUUUAGUGGCAGAGGAACCUUCAGCUCAGCGUGAAUGCCCGUGCAGCGCUGUCAUUUCGUCUGUCACUGUCUUAAGCUUGUGCCCCUCCUCGACCGUGUCAGAUGUUGCUCAUUAGUGUGUAAGGGUGCAGCACUUUAUCACUGUAGGUAGAGAACUGAUGCUCACUCUGUCCUGCCCCUGAGUGAAGCAUGGACUUGUAGGUGUGUGCUCACUCUGCUGUGGCUUUCCAAUCAGGUGUUUAUUUCCCUAACAAAGCGUAAGCUCAUUGCUUCCUCUCUGUCCUGCUUUUCCCUCCAGUUACAUCGCUUUGAAGUUCCUUUACCACUGUUUGAACACAGUGCUCAUCACAGCCUUACCUCUGCUGGUGUGUAAUUUCUCUGUUGCUUGAAUUAGCCACACGAGGUGGUUAUCUUGGAUGCAUGCCCGUGAUUUAAGAUAAUGAAUAACACUUCAUUGUCUGAUUCAUCCAACCAGAUGGGUAGCCCAUCAUUAUGACAACACAUUCAGGCAUUGUUUUCCAUUCACCAUGUCUCCCCCCAUGCAGAAGGUAAAGGAAGGAAGCACAAUCAGUGAAUGCCAUUUUUAAAGGUUGAAACUCUGAGACGCCAGCACAAACAUGGGCAGCCUUUUCUAGAAACAACGAGACUGUGUGAAGUAAAGAACUGCUUAAAAUUUAGGGACUGGGGCAAAUCUGUAUAUUAAGUAUUCAAUACGUAGAAUUUGAAAAAUGUUUUUCAUUAAAAAGAGAAACUACUGGAUACUUCAUGCAAAGGCAUGGUUGGGUGCGCAGUGCCAUCUCCUGCCAUGAACAGGUCAUUUAGUGGUCCUAGAAAACUUCUCUACGUGGUUGUGGGGUUUUCUUGGGUCUUUAUUGAUUAGGGGUAUGAGAAGAUGUAGUGGGAUUUUCUAGAAAGGUAGAUGGUCUGUUAAGGUGGUUCUUUUUGUUGAGAAUCCCAUUAAAGCUUUAUGAACUAAGUUGUGCAUGUCCUUGUACUGAUGUGAGUGUUCUGGCCUAGUCGGUCACCGUGGAAGAGCAAGGCAUAGUUCCUGAUUCAAGGUCACUGCCCCAACACAUUUAUCUUAGUUUUCCAUUUCUUUUUCUUUUUCUCUUCUUUCCUAUUGCUGUGAUAAAAUUCUUUUGCAAAAGCAACUUAUGAGGGAAAGGGCUUGGUUUAGCUCAUCGUUCAAGCCAUACUUGGUCAUGGCAUCAGUAAUUUGGAAGCAUCUGGUCACAUUACAGCCAUAGUCAG
rnacentral:lncRNA from 1 species